ensembl:lncRNA
ACCGCCCUUCACCAUCUUGGAGGAGCUGGCUCUCGCCAACAACAAAGGUCGGCCAAUGAUGGUAGGAGUGGAUGGGGGGAUGUUCUCUGACCCCACUGCCUCGACAUCGAACCCGUUUGUAACGAUUGAAGAUAUAAACAUUAUUUUGGAGGAGCCGCCGACAAUUAAUCUCCAAUCAGAGGAGACACUGUCGGCCUGUGACUCCAGGGCGACUAUGGAGAGGGAAAUGGCAAUGGAUGAGCCAUCCACCUCCAUGUCAACCUUCUCAAGGCCUUCUCGAGGGACAGACAAGAUUGGAACAGACACUAUAAGGGCGCUGUACAAGCGCAACUUGGAGCUGGACAACGAUAUAAAAGUCUUGGUGAAAAAAAAAUUGAAGAUCGAGAUCCAGCUCCUCGAGAGGGUAGGCUAUUUUUAGAUUUUCUUUGGUUAAGCUCGACUGACUACUGAAAUAAUGUUCUUUUUCCUACUUUCACAGCAACUGCAUG